UACAGAGGUCUCAAGCGUUGUUCGGAUUCAUUGGGCGUAAAGUGUGCGCAGGCGGCCGAGCAAGUCGAGUGUGAAAGCCCCGAGCUUAACUUGGGAACUGCGCUCGAAACUACUUGGCUAGAGUGUGGCAGAGGGAGGUGGAAUUCCACGUGUAGCGGUGAAAUGCGUAGAGAUGUGGAGGAACACCGAUGGCGAAGGCAGCCUCCUGGGCCAACACUGACGCUCAUGCACGAAAGCGUGGGGAGCAAACAGG
rnacentral:rRNA from 1 species